GAUUCUUGGGCUUUCAGACUCGUGUUUGGACUUACGCCAUCAGCCCCCACCCUGAGGCCUUUGAACUCGGACUGAAUCACACCACUGCAUUCCCUGGUUCUCUAGCUGACAGAAGGCAGAUGUGCACUUCUUGGGCUCCAUAACCAUGUGACUCGGAACUGAAAUGUGGAAAUCCUUGAGUGACCCUCUGGCGGCAGUGCAAAUGAUUCAUUGACGAGGAAUCAGAGACUGGGACACCAGUCCUCCUCCGUUGCUGUGCUCACCCCGGCACUCUCAGUUUCAUUUUUUCACCUGCCCCUCUCUCGUGA